CCUACGGGAGGCAGCAGUGGGGAAUAUUGCACAAUGGGGGCAACCCUGAUGCAGCGACGCCGCGUGAGUGAAGAAGUAAUUCGUUAUGUAAAGCUCUAUCAGCAGGGAAGAAAAUGACGGUACCUGAGUAAGAAGCCCCGGCUAACUACGUGCCAGCAGCCGCGGUAAUACGUAGGGGGCCAGCGUUAUCCGGAUUUACUGGGUGUAAAGGGAGCGUAGACGGCAGUGCAAGUCUGGAGUGAAAGGCAGGGGCUCAACCGCCGGACUGCACUGGAAACUGUACGGCUGGAGUGCAGGAGAGGUAAGUGGAAUUCCUAGUGUAGCGGUGAAAUGCGUAGAUAUUAGGAGGAACACCAGUGGCGAAGGCGGCUUACUGAACUGUAACUGACGUUGAGGCUCGAAAGCGUGGGGAGCAAACAGGAUUAGAUACCCUGGUAGUC
rnacentral:rRNA from 1 species